CCCAGACAGCCAGGAUGUUGGCUUAGAAGCAGCCAUCAUUUAAAGAAAGCGUAAUAGCUCACUGGUCGAGUCGGCCUGCGCGGAAGAUGUAACGGGGCUAAACCAUGCACCGAAGCUGCGGCAGCGACGCUGAUGCGUUGUUGGGUAGGGGAGCGUUCUGUAAGCCUGUGAAGGUGGCCUGUGAGGGUUGCUGGAGGUAUCAGAAGUGCGAAUGCUGACAUAAGUAACGAUAAAGCGGGUGAAAAGCCCGCUCGCCGGAAGACCAAGGGUUCCUGUCCAACGUUAAUCGGGGCAGGGUGAGUCGACCCCUAAGGCGAGGCCGAAAGGCGUAGUCGAUGGGAAACGGGUUAAUAUUCCCGUACUUGGUGUUACUGCGAAGGGGGGACGGAGAAGGCUAUGUUGGCCGGGCGACGGUUGUCCCGGUUUAAGCGUGUAGGCUGGUUUUCCAGGCAAAUCCGGAAAAUCAAGGCUGAGGCGUGAUGACGAGGCACUACGGUGCUGAAGCAACAAAUGCCCUGCUUCCAGGAAAAGCCUCUAAGCAUCAGGUAACAUCAAAUCGUACCCCAAACCGACACAGGUGGUCAGGUAGAGAAUACCAAGGCGCUUGAGAGAACUCGGGUGAAGGAACUAGGCAAAAUGGUGCCGUAACUUCGGGAGAAGGCACGCUGACAYGUAGGUGAAGUGAUUUACUCAYGGAGCUGAAGUCAGUCGAAGAUACCAGCUGGCUGCAACUGUUUAUUAAAAACACAGCACUGUGCAAACACGAAAGUGGACGUAUACGGUGUGACGCCUGCCCGGUGCCGGAAGGUUAAUUGAUGGGGUCAGCGCAAGCGAAGCUCCUGAUCGAAGCCCCGGUAAACGGCGGCCGUAACUAUAACGGUCCUAAGGUAGCGAAAUUCCUUGUCGGGUAAGUUCCGACCUGCACGAAUGGCGUAAUGAUGGCCAGGCUGUCUCCACCCGAGACUCAGUGAAAUUGAACUCGCUGUGAAGAUGCAGUGUACCCGCGGCAAGACGGAAAGACCCCGUGAACCUUUACUAUAGCUUGACACUGAACAUUGAGCCUUGAUGUGUAGGAUAGGUGGGAGGCUUUGAAGUGUGGACGCCAGUCUGCAUGGAGCCGACCUUGAAAUACCACCCUUUAAUGUUUGAUGUUCUAACGUGGACCCGUUACCCGGGUUGCGGACAGUGUCUGGUGGGUAGUUUGACUGGGGCGGUCUCCUCCUAAAGAGUAACGGAGGAGCACGAAGGUUGGCUAAUCCUGGUCGGACAUCAGGAGGUUAGUGCAAUGGCAUAAGCCAGCUUGACUGCGAGCGUGACGGCGCGAGCAGGUGCGAAAGCAGGUCAUAGUGAUCCGGUGGUUCUGAAUGGAAGGGCCAUCGCUCAACGGAUAAAAGGUACUCCGGGGAUAACAGGCUGAUACCGCCCAAGAGUUCAUAUCGACGGCGGUGUUUGGCACCUCGAUGUCGGCUCAUCACAUCCUGGGGCUGAAGUAGGUCCCAAGGGUAUGGCUGUUCGCCAUUUAAAGUGGUACGCGAGCUGGGUUUAGAACGUCGUGAGACAGUUCGGUCCCUAUCUGCCGUGGGCGCUGGAGAACUGAGGGGGGCUGCUCCUAGUACGAGAGGACCGGAGUGGACGCAUCACUGGUGUUCGGGUUGUCAUGCCAAUGGCACUGCCCGGUAGCUAAAUGCGGAAGAGAUAAGUGCUGAAAGCAUCUAAGCACGAAACUUGCCCCGAGAUGAGUUCUCCCUGAGACUUAGAGUCUCCUGAAGGAACGUUGAAGACGACGACGUUGAUAGGCCGGGUGUGUAAGCGCAGCGAUGCGUUGAGCUAACCGGUACUAAUGAACCGUGAGGCUUAACCUUACAACGCCGAAGAUGUUUUG
rnacentral:rRNA from 1 species